ACCAUUUCGGCUAAACUAACACCCUGAGACAUGUUCCGCACUUUUGUCAUCCUUGCCCUGGCCACCUGCGCCUUCGCCGGCUUCCUCGGCUUCCCUAGCCGUGCCAGCUACUCGUACCGUGCGCCCACCUUCUCCACUGUCGCCCACGUCCCGGCAGUCGGUCACGUCCACGGCCAUGGCUUAGGCUACGGCCUCGGCUACGGAUACGGCACCUACGGCCUGGGAUACGGCCUACACCAUGGUCACGUUCUCGGCGGUCUCCGAUACGGGGGCUUCUACUAGAGCUGUCAAGCAUAAGGACGAAAAACAGGCAAAUAAAACAGGAGAUAUCAUUGAAA